UACGGAGGGUGCGAGCGUUGUCCGGAAUCACUGGGCGUAAAGAGCUCGUAGGCGGCUUAGUAAGUCGGGUGUGAAACCUCCAGGCUCAACCUGGAGACGCCACCCGAUACUGCUGUGGCUAGAGUCCGGUAGGGGAGCGUGGAAUUCCUGGUGUAGCGGUGAAAUGCGCAGAUAUCAGGAGGAACACCAGCGGCGAAGGCGGCGCUCUGGGCCGGUACUGACGCUGAGGAGCGAAAGCGUGGGGAGCAAACAGG
rnacentral:rRNA from 1 species